rnacentral:pre_miRNA from 1 species
UGUGCUCUGCAGAGUGAGGUAGUUGGUUGUAUGGUUUCGCAUAAUAAACAGCAUGGAGAUAACUGUACAACCUUCUAGCUUUCCCUGCGGAGUCAC